UACGUAGGGUGCGAGCGUUAAUCGGAAUUACUGGGCGUAAAGUGUGCGCAGGCGGCAGAGCAAGUCGAGUGUGAAAGCCCCGGGCUUAACUUGGGAAUUGCGCUCGAAACUACUUUGCUGGAGUGUGGCAGAGGAAGGUGGAAUUCCACGUGUAGCGGUGAAAUGCGUAGAGAUGUGGAGGAACACCAAUGGCGAAGGCAGCCUUCUGGGCCAACACUGACGCUCAUGCACGAAAGCGUGGGGAGCAA
rnacentral:rRNA from 1 species